rnacentral:misc_RNA from 1 species
GAUGAAGAACGCAGCGAAAUGCGAUACGUAAUGUGAAUUGCAGAAUUCAGUGAAUCAUCGAGUCUUUGAACGCACAUUGCGCCCCCUGGUAUUCCGGGGGGCAUGCCUGUCCGAGCGUCAUUGCUGCCCUCAAGCACGGCUUGUGUGUUGGGCCUCCGUCCUCCUCCCGAGGGACGGGCCCGAAAGGCAGCGGCGGCACCGCGUCCGGUCCUCGAGCGUAUGGGGCUUCGUCACCCGCUCUUGUAGGCCCGGCCGGCGCUUGCCGACACAUCAAUCUUUUUUCCAGGUUGACCUCGGAUCAGGUAGGGAUACCCGCUGAACUUAAGCAUAUCAAUAAGCGGAGGA